UCCUGCCAACACAUAGUUGUAUUACACAGUUCCUCUCUCACAGUGUUUGUUCGAUCUCAACUCUCUUGCAUUAUUCUUCCAUUAUUCUUUCUCUUCAGCGUUUGAUUUCACUAAUUACUUUCUAUAUGCCAUUGCAGAUAUGUGGCAACUUUUUAUAUGUCAUUGUAAGUUUUUAUUAAGACAUCUCCUCUCUCUCUCCUAGAAAUUCCGCCCGACCUUCUUCCAUUGUAACAUCUCUUUUCAUCCGUUAUUUAAUAGGAGUAUUUCUUGUUUUCUCUUACUUUAAUUUAAGAAUUUUAUAUUAUGGUUUUGAAAAUUUAUUAUGUGCAUGUUGUAUUCUAUUUGUAGAUCAGACAAUUACUUUCUUCAUGUGUUGGUGUGAAGUCUUGCAGUCAAUUCAUAAUUUAUCCAGAAAAGACCCCCAAUAAAAUUCCCCAAUUCCAUCCAUCAAGACCCUAACUCGAAAAUUAUCUAAAUCUCCAUAUGUUAUCAGGUCAGUUGAUGUCUUCAUCAAUUCUUCUCCGGCACUCAGUUAUUUUUGGGAACAUUACUUGUGCUCAACUCUAAUUGUAGGAAAAAAAAAUCAAUCUGAUUGAAAUCCUUUGUGACUUUCACCUGUUAUUUUUUGUGGAUGAAGUUAUGAAAUUCGGAAAAAGUUAAUAUUGAUGUAUAUUUUCCAACAAGUUAGAUGAGUUUUAUUAUAAUAGGUUUUAUCGUUUUCCUUAUUAUCAAUGUUAGUCAACUAUAUGUUGCAGAAAUAUAAACGAAGAAUUUAAAGAGCCAUUUUUUUAGCAGUCACUAAUUUGUCCAAAGAAUAGUUCCUUUUACCCAUUUGUAUUACUUUUAGUUCUCUAAUAUAACCACUACAUUAUUUACUUGCAAAAGAUUAAGUUCAUAUUUGAUAUGCUUAAGUUUUUCUGUUUUUACCUUUUCCUUUUGACUUCAAUAUUUUGAAGUUGAAUGAAGGAGUCAUUAGUUGUUAAUCCAUUUUCGUUAGACUGUUAUUACGACAUAUUAUUCUUCUACGGUUGUUAGAUCGGGGAAUUAUUACUAAUAAGAUUAUAAAACAACAGUGCAAUAAUAUAUUCUUAUUACUAAUGAACACCUUAACAGAAAAUAUUACUUGUUAUUUCCUUUUUAAUUUAUGUGUUUAUAUACCAUUUAGAACUUUAUUGUGCUUUGCCAUUAUGAGACAAGUAGUCUUGUGACUGUCAAUGAUACUCCAUGUAAUUGAGAUUAGUCAUUGGAGAUUGGAACUACUCAGAGCUGACUUGGUUUGUUGUUUCAAAAUCUUUUGGGUAGCUUAGAAGACAACAUUUGUGGCAGGGGCUCAACUGGAGCAAUGUCUUGUCAGAGUCGCGGGGAAGAAGCCUGCUAGAUUAUUGUGCUUCAAUUACUUUAUAAAGCCAAGACAGUUAUCUAUUUUGUGGUUCAAGGCUUCCUCAAGAAAACAGAAUGAUAUAAACAAUAAAAAAAGCGGCUUACUAUAGUGUGAAACAACCUAAAAAGGUAACUUCGUUUCUCACAAGACAAGGAGAAAUUGUUGACACAGAAGGAUAGCAAACUACGCUAUGCUUGGCGGGAAACUCGCGAGAACAAGUGCCCCUUUGUCAUUUUUUGGUCAUUUUUGUACUUCAUUAUUGUAGGAAUUAUCAAAUGAUAACUUUAUACAUCAAGACAAGAUAUAGAUUUAAAUGUAAACACUUGUUCCAAGUCGUAAACUUGCAUUUUCACAGGUAUUGAUCCUUGGAACGAUGCAUCUGUUGAAGUACAUGCUUUUUCUAUCA